rnacentral:tRNA from 1 species
GUCCACGUAGCCCAACUGGCAGAGGCGCGGCGUUCAGAUCGCCGAGGUUGAGAGUUCGAAUCUCUCCGUGGACA